UACGAGGUUUAAACAGCCCUCCGCUUUGCGUCGGGGCCGUUUUACAACCUCGACCGUGCAUUUCUGUUAACAGACCACCGUGUCGUCCAUUAUCCCUUACAUAUUGCCCACUCCUAGUUCAUGGCCUUGCUCUAUCCAUCCUGAUUCUCUGUCUCUCUCUCACACACACACACACACACACACACACACACACACACACACACACACACACAGGUAUUGAUGAAGAGAAUAAGGUGUCGGGUUGAGGUGCUCUCCGCUCUGCAUCUGGACUCUGUGCUGAAUUCUACCAACGGUUGCCCAGGCAACCUGGAGAGAGAGGUUUAGAACAGAGUGGUGUGUGCGUGUUUAUGCGUGUGCGUGUGUGUGUGUGUGUGGGGCGGGGCUAGUGAGAGAGGGGGUGUGUGGUGUGGCGAGGGUAGUGGAUUAGUCCGUUUGUCCGUUUGUUGAGCAGCCAGGAGAUGCGCUCACACCAUCAGUCCUGUGGGAGGUGGCAGACCUCUGCCUGCUUCUCCUUGGCUCCUCGUUUAGCUUUUUGGAGAGUAGCGAGUGUGUAGUUGAUAUCCGGAUAUUCGAGGGGAUGUGUGUGUGUGUGUGUGUGUGUGUGUGUGUGUGUGUGUGUGUGUCAGUCAGCAACGGAGCAUGCAUUAUGUAAUAGUCACCUGUAGACAUACUGCCAUCUCUCCCUCUCUGUAGUACAUCACACCCAUGGGCAUGUUAUUGUCACUUUGCAGACCUACAAACAGAGGUGCACACACACAUAUACACACACACACACACAUAUUUUUCAUUCACUGUCAUUCACAUUCACAGUGUUUGUGGUGCUUCAUUAGAUAAUCUGAUGCUCUUCCACACAGUGGUGAUUACCCAGGCCUCUAAUUAGACUAUUUGGCUGGCUGCCUGCCUGCUCAGGUGACUGUGUGUGUGUGUGUAGAGAGAGAGAGAAAGGGAGGGGGGGGGGGUAAUUACUCCAAACCUGUAGCCUCAUACACAGGUUUAUUUACUAACACAAAUUACA